ensembl:snRNA U2 U2 spliceosomal RNA
GUACCUCACAUUCUGUCCUGAAUAAAGGGCCACUCAAGCACAGUAUCUGUUCUUAUCAGUGUAAUACCUGAUAUGUUCUCUUUCAGAGAACUUUGUAUUAAAUGGAUUUUUGGAACAAGGAGCUGGAAUAGGAGCUUGCUUCACCCACUCCAUGCAUCAACCUGGUAUUGCAGUGCUUCCAGGUAUAAAAGCCACAGGA